CCCUGAUUAGCUCAGUUGGUAGGGCGCUCCACUGGAAAUGGAGAGGUCCCGGGUUCGAUACCCGGACCAGGCG
rfam:Ixodes scapularis strain Wikel colony gcontig_1108378254170, whole genome shotgun sequence.